CCGGCGCUCCCGCGGGCAGAGCGCGUGCGGACGCCGAGCACAUGGGCCCUCGGGCCGGGAGGGCGCUCCGGGCGGCCCGGGUUCCGAGGGGCCGCGAGGGGCCGCGGGCGAGGAUGGGCCCCGGCCCCCGCGAGCGGCCCCCGAGUGGAUCUCCACGCGGGAAGGAUGUCGGCGGCUCCGGUGACAACGGCUGGGAGCCCCCUUCCAGUCUGAUCAUUUUUGACUAGAAAGGAAUCAGCAAGAUGCCCCUCGUGAUGGCCGCACCUGUCAGCUUCAUGCAAGGAUUUUCCGAGCCGUGUGGAUUUACAGUGAUCUUCAGCCGCCUGGGGAAUGAUGCUGGUGGAAGCAUUAUUCUGGAAUUGCACAUACCCGGCACAUUUCUGGAUGCUAAAGGUGAUUUUAAGGAAGGCCCUGGCCCAGUGCCUCAUGGAUUCCUGCAGCCUGGAUGCCCUCUGGGGACGGAGGACCACCGAUUCCUGUGAAUGCUGAGCUCUCUGUCCUCCGCUUGGACAGGAAUGUUUGGUUGGGUCUCUCCAGCUCGCUCUCCGGCUCCCUGUCAAACGAUCCUGUUAUACCUGGGCUUUAGGUGCUUUUAAUCUGGAGGAAAAAAUAUAUAUAUAUAUCCAUUCAGCAUUCGAAGUGGGCAUUGAGAACUACCUUUCCCUGAAGUAAAGCUGCAAUAUCUUGAGAGUUGGAGAAAUAAGAAGGACCGAACAGCAGGCUCCCAGAUUCCGAAGCCCCAAUGAGAGGACCGCCCAGGAACCACUGAAGGCUGAGUGCCCCACGAUGGCAAAGUUGAGGUUCAAAGUGUUCAAUGGAUUGACAGAUCAGAUGGUCCGAAAGCUGCAGAACCAGUAUUGAAACCAUGUGCCUGGACUCCAAGCCCAGGGUUCUUUCAGCAUCGCAUUCGGAAUCUGAGUCAGCCCAACAUCUGUGAAGUAGAUGUGUGGUAAAAGAAGAGGGGACACCGUGCAGGAGAGGUUUGGGGAGAAGACAAUAGCAGAGGUGUCUUGUGGUUCUUUUGGAACUUUCAGUUUUACUUCAAAACCCGAGACCCCUGAGUUUCAUAGAAGGGGUGAAGUUGCAGUGUGUGAGAUAAGGGAGGGGACAGCUUGAGGAAAGGAGCUCAUGACCUCAGGUUUGCAAAACCCACAAUUGUACAAUAGCUCAGCUCUAGCCAACACCCUGAGGGGAUGCAAAAAAGACCUAGGAGAGUGUGUAGCCACCAGAGUCCCCAUUCUAGUUUCACAUCGUACCUGAAGGGCUCCCACUGCUUAAGCACUAAGCCCUAUCUUGUGAUUUCUUAACCCGUCACCGCCCCUCUUCAGGUCUCGUCUCUGCAGACUGAGACUCUAUUAACAUUUCAAUUUUGCUCAUGGUCGGGGACGAUCUCAAGUUUUGAUUUUGAGAACCUAGAAUGUUCUUGGCUUCCUGGAAUCACUAUCCAAGCCUUCUUGCUGUGAAGGAAGAAGAAUGGUGCUCUGGAAGCUUCAGUGAACGAAGCGCGAUGGUAAAUGAAGAGCUAAGAACACUGGGAGUUCUGGCCUGUUGUUCAAAUGAGACACCAUCCUUCCAGCUCCUCUCCACAUGUUCACUGGAGCGAUUUACCAAAAAUGCAUGUGCGACGAGGCUGCCUAACCCUUUCUGUGGCCUCAGGGUACUCUGUGUGGCACGCAAGACCCCCCACAACCUGGCCUUUGGUCUGCCAUUUUGUUUUCAGCAGCACUGACCUUCCUGUGGGUCUGUGCACAGAGCCAUUCUGUUUUUUCACCCAGUUCCUACUUCCUGGAAUGCACUUCCUCUUCUUUCACCAUGGUGAAUCCCAUGUUGCUGAAUUUCGUGCCCCCUCUCUCUAUGUAAAUAACUCUAAAAUUCUAUCAUCUGUGACAGUUUCUGAAAUAUUCUUGGCCAUUUUCAGUCAAAUGCUAGAGCUUUAUCUUAAAUCUACGACUCCCAUCUAGGAUCAAUGUUACUUCCCCCAGUGGUAUGUUCCAGAUCGCUGGACACUGGCUCCACGAUGCCUUAUCAGUGAAGCAGGACCAUCAGUUCAUUAGACAUAGAAUCUAGAGAGGACCCCACUGCUCAUUUUGCCCAGCUGCAAAUGAUCUGGAUGGCAUAGACGGUUUUCUCCAGUCCUGCACUUAGGAUACUUACUUCAAUAUUGGCAGCAAUAAAAUGGUGGGUAAGAAAUUGCACAUUUGUCAGAAGGAGGCGGCCUGAUAGAAGUGUGUAAACAUGGUACUCAUCUCAAAAUUCAAUUACCAUAUGUACACGGUUUGGCUUGUCAUUUAUGUACUUGUAUAUUUAUAUACCCAUCAUCCUUAAUCACCUACAAGAAUGAACGAGUGCAUUUAAGAACACAUGUUUGCAACAUAAGCUAAUGGUUAAUUGAACAUUUCUUCUUGGAGGAGGAAGCUGAAUGACAACCAGAGAAGACACAGGUUUUUGAAAACAGCAGCGAGGCUUGCUAACACACAGUUUAGUUUUAGCUCACCCUGAAGGAAAUUCCUGGUGAGGUGACCUGAACGUUAUUCUUUUGAAAGCCUGCCAUACUCAGCACAGAGAGAGAGCUCAGCUUACCAGUUUAGCAUCAGGAAACUGGGGGCCAACUCCUUGCCUCGCCUUUUUUGGGUGUCUGUUCAUAAGAAAUUCAUGUAACUUCUCCAAGCCUCUGUUUCCUCAUAAUCUGGGAAUAAUGCAGCAAGCUUGCUAGUAGAUUUGAAAAACACAAGAUGCAUGAACUUACUUUCAGGUGCUAAUUAAAUCUCAUUUGAAUUAAUAUGUUAUUUUCCUACCUCCACCUGCAUCUCAUAAAGGUCAAGGUCAUAGAGUCCAGACACACUCCUGCUCCUACUAGUGCUACUAUUACAACAUCUACUGCUAACAAUAGCGGAUAUUUAUCGAGAGUUUACUAUGUCUGCACUGUUUUAGCAUUUCACAUGAACGCACCAUGUAUGCCUCGGAAAACCCCUAUGAAGUAGUUACCAAUAUUGUUCCCACUUUAUGUACAAGAACUUGGAGACUCAGAGAAGUUAAGUAACUUGCCUGAGAUCAUACAGCCGGUCAUUCAUUGAGCGGCUUGGAUUUGACUCCAAGCUUGGACUCCAGAAUUCAAACAUUCACAAUCACACCCUAUCCCCUAAUAAUAAUAGUAAAAUUAUCUUAUGGUGGGAUAGUGCUUUGUUCUUUCAUGGAGAGAAUCUCACCUUGGCCUUCUAGCAGUCCUGUGAAAUAGGGGUUAUUAUCCUUAUCUUACAGGUGUGCAACAGGUAAAAAAGAUGAAGGGAUUUACCCAAGGUCACCCUGAUGCAGAACAGUAAAAUCAGAUGGUUGUCCCACUUUGGUGAGCACUACUAAGUUCUCCCAUCCUGCUUCUGGCUCUACCCUGCUUUUGUUCACACCUCCCCCACUGAUGACUCCUUCUACAAGGACCCCAACUGAGUCCUCUUAAUUUGUUUUGAGAAUUUCCCCCAGUUCUGUCAUUCUCUGUACCACUGUCUGUGACUCGUGUGACUAAUUUUUUCUACUUGCAUUCCAUGGUUCUGCAGAGCUUAGAAUAAGCUACCAUGAACCUCUAGCUCAGAACUCAUUGGCAUUUAAGGAAGGCACUCUGGGAGGACCAUCUGAAAUGAACUCAACCUCUGAUGUCAAGGUCACCUGCUCCCCAGGUGCUGAGCUCACCACGUAUGCAUUCUUCAUCUGAAGGAAGUACCGGUCACCCUUAAGCAGAGCAUCUGCCAUGUCACUGCUCUCUAGGGUGCUCUUUUCUAUGGUCUGCAGUUGUGAGUGCUCCAUAACCUGGCCUGCUGAACCUGUCUAAAAAUCCUGCCUGCUGUCUCUCAGUGUUGUCAUUUUCCUCUGGGCUGUCAUAGCACCCUAUGCUUUGGAUGUUCCUUUAACUAAAACUGUUCUCUCCCAAUUUAUGGCUUUGCUAACAUAGUCUCAGCCUAGAUAGCCUUCCCACAAGAACCUUCCCUGACUCCCUAAACCACUCCUGUGCUCUGCUCUGCUCUCCAUCUCAUGCAAUCUCUUUUUGAAAAAACUCUGCUCCUUCUUAGCAUUUUUCACAUUGUCUUGAGACUGCCUGUUAAGCUGUCCGUCUGCUGCAAUAUGUGAUGAGCUCUUUGAGGUCAGUGUCUUCCAGUAUCCUACAAUGCCUGCCCAUAGUAGGAGCUCAAUGAAUAGCUGUUGAUUAAAUGUUUACUUCUGUCUCUGAAGUCAGCAAAUAUUUUAAGAGGAUCGCUUUACUAAUGCCCCUGCCUUCUAGACUGUGAGUUUCCUGAAGGCAGACGUUCUGCUUAUUCAGCACUGUAUCCUCAGUGCCUGGCUUGGACGAGGCACUCUGUAAAUGCAUCAUGGACAAUUUUGAAAAGCAAUACAAAUAAUAGAUAGAUAGAUAGAUAGAUAGAUAGAUAGAUAGAUAGAUAGAUAGAUAAAGCACCCAUAUUUCCAAUCCACUGCUAAAGACAAUCGUUGCUAACAUUUUGGUACAUGGCUUUCCAAUCUAUAGCAAGCAGCCUCUAGCAUGACUCCCCGUGAUCCCCCUCACACACACACACACCUCUAGCUAUUCACAGUCUUGUGUCAUCUCCUCCUCUUGAAUGAGGGCUGAAUUCAGUGACCCACUUCAAAUGAAUAGAACAAAGCAGAAGUGAUUGACUGCAGCUUCUGAGAUUAGGUUAUAAAAAGACUGUGGCUUCCAUCUUGGCAUUCUUUCUCUGAGAUCCCUCACCCUGGGAGAGGCUAACUGCCAUGCAGUGGGCAGACCUAUUGAGAAAUCCAUGUGGUAACAUAACUGAAGACACUGAUCAACAGCCAGCAAAGACCUGAGACCUGCCAACAGCCACAUGGGUGAGUCUGGAAGCAGCUCCUCCCCAGUUGAGCAUGGUGAUGGCUACCCCAGUCAACACACUGAUUCUGGCUAUGUGAGAAAGAGAGAGCAAGUGGCACCAGCUAAGCUGUGUCUGGAUUCCCGACCCAGCAUCCCUGGGAUAAUAAAUAUUGAGCUGUCAGAAAAGUCAUGACAUAUUUUUUCUACGUUUUUCGUUGCAAAAAUGCAUCAUGAUUUUUUGGACAACCCAAUAUUUGUUGUUUUAAGGUGCUAAUUUGAUACAUAGCAAUAGGUAAAUAAUAUGCAAUCCUAUAUACAGUUAUAUAAAUAUGGUUUAUCUGUUUUACUGUUUAUCAUAGAUCAAAAUUUAAUUUAUUGAGUGAAACAAACUGAUAAAUCAUGCUUGUGUGUAAGUCUUCUUUGAAAAAACUUUUUAAAAAAUGUGAAAUAUAGCCACAUACAGAAAAUACACAAGGCAUAUAUAUGCAGCUAAAAAAAUCAUAACAUGCACCCUUGUUCCAAUUUUAGUAUAUUAUAUUUUUAAAUAAAUCAGGGCAUAUGUAAAACUAGUAACUAUUUUUUUCUUCAAAGAGAAGAUUUUUAAAAAGCUAAAUAGAUGUACCAUUUUAGGAUGGUUUAGAGUCUCUGAAUCAGUCUGAAAUGUUGCCAUAUACUUUUCUUUAACCACUGAAGGAAGAAAUUCUUAGUCAAAGUUAGUCAUCAGGAGGAAGUCUAGGAAUUGUGCCACAGUGGAGUAUAUACAAUGUGUGGGCCAGAGUGGGGCCUCAGUAUGACACUGAUAAAUGGAUGGAUGGACUUGGAAUUCAAAACAUGGAUUGCAGCUCCUUCUCAGCCACUUGGAAGUAUGUGGUGUCAUCACUUAACAUGUAGGAGCAGUGAUUUUAUUAUCUUUAAAAUGGGAACAUACUCAUGAAGUUGUGAGGUUUAAAGAAAGUGGCAUUGUGUUUAUAAUGCCCUUGCAGAGCACUUGGCACAUAGCAAGCUCUCAAUACAUCAGUUACAAUUGAGCAAUAAUUCUGAUUUCAGGACACCAUCAAAUAGUGAUUUAUCACUAUAUAAAGCUUAAGUAAAUAUAUAUUUAACUUAAUAACUUUAUUUCUUAUUAAUUGCUAAAUGCUCAUAAUAAAGUAAAUUUUACAAAUAUUUUUAAAGGACAAAGAAGUAAGCAGAAACUCACUCCAAAAUUUCACCUGUAAGAAAUGACUAACAUCAACCUGUGGUGGACAUCAUUCCAAAUGUCCCUUGUGUAUAGACAGAUAGAUUGCGAUGGUGGAAGGCUAUUUAGGUAGGUAAAUAGCUACCUAACUAAUUAGAGAUCAUACUGGACAUACUGAAUAAAAGAAGAACAAUUACUUAAUUUCCCUUGAACGUAACCAAAGAAAAAUAAACUGAAGUGAAACUAACGGAAUUGCUGAAAUUUACAUCAUGUUUUUUUCUCCAUUGCCAGUGAUAGCAUUUCCUCAAAUAUCUCCCUAAGUGAGAUUAAGUAAAAACUUAAUGAAACCAAAUAAGUUGGAGUCAUUUUCCCCCCCUUUUAACUUAUAUCUUUCCAUUUUUCGGGCUGUACUAAUUAAUCUCCUACUAUGAAGAUGAAGUGAUUCAUACUCUUCUUUCAC